UUGUUCUGGUUUCUCUUCACCCCGUAUAAGUCUUUCCUCUCUAACUAAAGAUUUCUGUGGUGAGGAACGACUCUUACUCUCACCCACUUCUUUGCAGUCUUUGCAAUAGCAGGGCU